UACGAAGGGGGCUAGCGUUGCUCGGAAUCACUGGGCGUAAAGCGCACGUAGGCGGGUUGUUAAGUCGGGGGUGAAAGCCCGGGGCUCAACCCCGGAAUUGCCUUUAAGACUGCAUCGCUUGAAUCCGGGAGAGGUGAGUGGAAUUCCGAGUGUAGAGGUGAAAUUCGUAGAUAUUCGGAAGAACACCAGUGGCGAAGGCGGCUCACUGGACCGGUAUUGACGCUGAGGUGCGAAAGCGUGGGGAGCAAACAGG
rnacentral:rRNA from 1 species